rnacentral:rRNA from 1 species
GACGAACGCUGGCGGCGUGCUUAACACAUGCAAGUCGAACGGAAAGGCCCUGCUUGCAGUGUACUCGAGUGGCGAACGGGUGAGUAACACGUGGGUGAUCUGCCCUGCUCUUCGGGUUAAGUCUGGGAAACUGAGUCUAAUUCCGGCUGGGUGCCAUUUUUAGUGUGAUGGUUGGAAAGUUUUUUCGGUGUUGGGUGAGCUCGCGGCCUAUCUGCUUGUUGGUGGGGUAAUGGCCUACCAAGGCGGCGUCGGGUAGCCGGCCUGCGAGGGUGGACGGCCACAUUGGGACUGAGAUACGGCCCAGACUCCUACGGGAGGCAGCAGUGGGGAAGAUUGCACAAUGGGCGCAAGCCUGAUGCAGCGACGCCGCGUGGGGGAUGACGGCCUUCGGGUUGUAAACUCCUUUCGCUAGGGACGAAGCUUUUUGUGACGGUACCUAGAUAAGAAGCACCGGCUAACUACGUG